UUUUAUUUUGGGCAAAAUGGAAGCAACGUUUAGGGCAAAGAGAGCUGUCAUCAACAUCUCCAAGUUGUUGCCGCAGUGCCCUUCUCCAAUUACCAGGGCUUCCUUAUCCACAUCUUAUCAACCUCCACCAGCACCACCAGGAAGUAAUGCAGCAGUGGGAGAGAGCAGGUACGACGCCAAACA